rnacentral:rRNA from 1 species
UGGGGAAUAUUGCGCAAUGGGGGAAACCCUGACGCAGCGACGCCGCGUGAAGGAAGAAGGCCUUCGGGUUGUAAACUUCUUUGAUCGGGGACGAAGAUGACGGUACCCGAGGAACAAGCCACGGCUAACUACGUGCCAGCAGCCGCGGUAAUACGUAGGUGGCAAGCGUUGUCCGGAAUUACUGGGCGUAAAGGGCGUGUAGGCGGGGGGACAAGUCAGAUGUGAAAUACCGCGGCUUAACUGCGGGGGUGCAUCUGAAACUGUUCUUCUUGAGUGUCGGAGAGGAAAGUGGAAUUCCCAGUGUAGCGGUGAAAUGCGUAGAGAUUGGGAGGAACACCAGUGGCGAAGGCGGCUUUCUGGACGAUAACUGACGCUGAGGCGCGAAAGCGUGGGGAGCAAACAGG